rnacentral:rRNA from 1 species
CACGUGGGCAACCUACCUAUAAGACUGGGAUAACUCGUGGAAACGCGAGCUAAUACCGGAUAAUACAACCGACCUCCUGGCAGGUUGUUGAAAGAUGGCUCCUCGGAGCUAUCACUUACAGAUGGGCCCGCGGCGCAUUAGCUAGUUGGUGAGGUAACGGCUCACCAAGGCAACGAUGCGUAGCCGACCUGAGAGGGUGAUCGGCCACACUGGGACUGAGACACGGCCCAGACUCCUACGGGAGGCAGCAGUAGGGAAUCUUCCGCAAUGGACGAAAGUCUGACGGAGCAACGCCGCGUGAACGAAGAAGGUUUUCGGAUCGUAAAGUUCUGUUGUUAGGGAAGAACAAGUACCGUUCGAACAGGGCGGUACCUUGACGGUACCUAACGAGGAAGCCCCGGCUAACUACGUGCCAGCAGCCGCGGUAAUACGUAGGGGGCAAGCGUUGUCCGGAAUUAUUGGGCGUAAAGCGCGCGCAGGCGGUUUUUUAAGUCUGAUGUGAAAUCUUGUGGCUCAACCACAAGCGGUCAUUGGAAACUGGAGAACUUG